GAUGAAGAACGCAGCGAAAUGCGAUAAGUAAUGUGAAUUGCAGAAUUCAGUGAAUCAUCGAAUCUUUGAACGCACAUUGCGCCCAUUAGUAUUCUAGGGGGCAUGCCUGUUCGAGCGUCAUUUCAACCCUUAAGCCUAGCUUAGUGUUGGGAGACUGCCUAAUACGCAGCUCCUCAAAACCAGUGGCGGAGUCUGUUCGUGCUCUGAGCGUAGUAAUUUUUUAUCUCGCUUCUGCAAGCCGGCCAGACGACAGCCAUAAACCGCACCCUCUCGGGGGGCACUUUUUUAAUGGUUGACCUCGGAUCAGGUAGGAAUACCCGCUGAACUUAAGCAUAUCAAUAAGCGGAGGA
rnacentral:misc_RNA from 1 species